ACUACGGGAGACAGCAGUGGGGAAUAUUGGGCAAUGGGCGCAAGCCUGACCCAGCAACGCCGCGUGAAGGAAGAAGGCUUUCGGGUUGUAAACUUCUUUUCUCAGGGACGAAGCAAGUGACGGUCCCUGAGGAAUAAGCCACGGCUAACUACGUGCCAGCAGCCGCGGUAAUACGUCGGUGGCAAGCGUUAUCCGGAUUUACUGGGAGUAAAGGGCGUGUAGGCGGGGACGCAAGUCAGAUGUGAAAACCACGGGCCCAACCUGUGGCCUGCAUUUGAAACUGUGUUUCGUGAGUACUGGAGAGGCAGACGGAAUUCCUAGUGUAGCGGUGAAAUGCGUAGAUAUUAGGAGGAACACCAGUGGCGAAGGCGGUCUGCUGGACAGCAACUGACGCUGAGGCGCGAAAGCGUGGGGAGCAAACAGGAUUAGAUACCCCAGUAGUC
rnacentral:rRNA from 1 species